rnacentral:snRNA from 1 species
AAAAAGGAUUUCUGUCCUGAGUGGCUCAUGUAGAACAACUCCUGGCUCUUCAUGCAGAAUCUAUAUCAAGAGAUUUUGGAAGCUUAAGUUUUUGGUACUUGGACAG